rnacentral:rRNA from 1 species
CCUACGGGUGACAGCAGUGAGGAAUAUUGGUCAAUGGGCGCGAGCCUGAACCAGCCAAGUCGCGUGAGGGAAGACGGUCCUAUGGAUUGUAAACCUCUUUUGUCGGGGAGCAAAAGACGCCACGCGUCGCGUUCCGAGAGUACCCGAAGAAAAAGCAUCGGCUAACUCCGUGCCAGCAGCCGCGGUAAUACGGAGGAUGCGGGCGUUCUCCGGAUUUAUUGGGUUUAAAGGGUGCGCAGGCGGAAGAUCAAGUCAGCGGGAAAAUUGAGAGGCUCAACCUCUUCGAGCCGUUGAAACUGGUUUUCUUGAGUGAGCGAGAAGUAUGCGGAAUGCGUGGUGUAGCGGUGAAAUGCAUAGAGAUCACGCAGAACUCCGAUUGCGAAGGCAGCAUACCGGCGCUCAACUGACGCUCAUGCACGAAAGUGUGGGUAUCGAACAGGAUUAGAUACCCCGGUAGUC